AGAAAAGUGUAUUGGUGUAAAUAAGUAAAAUUUGCACUGGAGGUAAUUUUGGCAGUAGUCUGUGUAACUCAGUUCCACACCCAAGGCCGCGAAUGUUCCCUUUACCACCCAUUGUUUUCCUGUCCCCAUCUACUAAACUAUACUCAUCAUUUGGCAUCAGACAAAACUAUCCAGCUUUGCUGACAAUAAAACCACCCCAACAAGAGGCAUAGAGCAUUUUGUGGCAAACUUAGAUUGACAAAGUAUCAACACAGACACUCUUCUUGGUUAUGCUGUUGUAAAUGGCUCCCAGUGCGUCCCACAAUGCCCAGCCUGACUGCUCUGGUCAGCAGUUUGAACUGUGCUGCCCUGCACCCAGGUAGACAGGCAUCUGCCCCUUCCUCUUUAAAGGACUGGGAAUUUUUGAAAUUCCACUUUGUUUGCUCAGUGUGGACAGCUAAUGUUGCAUCUUUCCAGCUGACCAUGGCAGUUCCACACUGCAAAAGCUCUCCCUCCUGGAGCACACCAGAGUUGUUCAAUCUGCUGGGUCUGUAGGGAGAGGAGACUGUGCAGUCCCAGCUCCACUCCAACAGUAGGAACUUUGAUACCUAUAGUCAAAGUUCUUGUGGCAUGAUGGAUAAGGGCUACAAAUGGGAUAUGCAUCAGUGCUGUGCGAUGAUCAAGGAGCUAAGGCAGGUGUACCAGAAGGCAGAGGAGUUAAACCAUUGUUCUGGUGCUGUGCCAAAGACCUGCCAUUUCUAUUAGGACCUGGACACCAUUCUCGGUGGUGACCCUAUCCUAUCUCCAUUGGCAAGAGCCCCAUAAAUACUUCAGCAGGGCUGAAGAUAGUGGCCAGCUGACUCAACCUCAAAGACGAAGUGGUGGAAGAAGAAGUAGAUUGAAGGAUGAGAUGGGACAGACAACUGGUUCAUCUGGUACUGUGAUGAGCCAGGAUUUCUUCUCAAUGGUAGAGGCUUUGAGCCAGUCCUAGCGCUCUGUCUGUGAUGCAUAUGAUGCAGGAAAGGGGACCUCUGAUGUGAGAGCCCCCUACACACCAGCAGAGCACCUCCACCAGCUAAGGAAGCUACUGAGGAGGAGCAAGGAGGACAUGUUUUGGGAGGUGCUCCAAUCCUCUGUCGCCACAGAGCAAGAAAAAAGGGCAUGGAGAGAGUCAGCUAAUGAAGAUUUAAAAAUAGACAGGCAGGAGAGGAAGGAGAGCCAGGAGUAAAUUUUAGUGGUCCAGGAACAGAUGAUAAAAGUGAUGGAGGAGCAAACAGAGAUGCUGCAGUCCCUGAUCACAGCUUCCAAAUGAUAGCUGGAGUUACACACAGCUAUGAGAGCCUCCAUCAGGAGAGCGCCCUUCAGUGUUAUAUCCCUUUCAACCAAGCAUUUUCUUUGUGUUUAUUGCUAUUUAAUAAAAAUAUACUCUGUGAAAGAUAAUCAAUCUUUAUCUCCUACACACGAUGGUUGCUGCUGGAAUUAAUACACAGUGGCAAUUGGCAGAUUUGCAGCUACUGUAGUAAGAUGAGGCCCUGAGACAUAAACCCUUGGUAUCAGAGGCCUGGUAUGAGGCAUGAGGCCUGAACUGAAGGAAUUGUCAAGACGUUGCUAAAGCAAAGUUAGGCUGUGAGCCAGAGGCAGGCAUUGCUCACAGAAAUUGGCAAGAGCAUAUAUACAUGUAAGCACUAAUAAGAUUAACGUAUGCCAGGACAGUACCCAGCCUAAAAACAGUAUAAAAGGACAAUAUGAUGAAUAGACAAUAUGAAAGGACAAUACGAUGAAUAGACAGUAUGAUGGAUAGACUUAUUUGUUCGAACCAAUCUGCACUAGGAGAAAGGCAACACCCUAAUGCAUAGAGGGGCUGUCCCUCAGUGCGUUCAAUGACCUGUUUGUGUCUGUGUAUAAGAAUGCAGCCCUGCGUGGACGUCUUUGUCUGGCC